rnacentral:rRNA from 1 species
CAGCAGCCGCGGUAAUACAGAGGGUGCAAGCGUUAAUCGGAAUUACUGGGCGUAAAGGGCGCGUAGGCGGUUUGGCAAGUUUGGUGUGAAAUCUUCGGGCUCAACUCGAAGUCUGCAUCGAAAACUGCCGGGCUUGAGUGUGGGAGAGGUGAGUGGAAUUUCCGGUGUAGCGGUGAAAUGCGUAGAUAUCGGAAGGAACACCUGUGGCGAAAGCGGCUCACUGGACCACAACUGACGCUGAGGCGCGAAAGCUAGGGGAGCAAACAGGAUUAGAUACCCCUGUAGUCCCUGUCUCUUAUAC